rnacentral:rRNA from 1 species
AUUGAACGCUGGCGGCAUGCCUUACACAUGCAAGUCGAACGGCAGCAUGAUCUAGCUUGCUAGAUUGAUGGCGAGCGGCGAACGGGUGAGUAAUACAUCGGAACGUGCCCUGUAGUGGGGGAUAACUAGUCGAAAGAUUAGCUAAUACCGCAUACGACCUGAGGGUGAAAGUGGGGGACCGCAAGGCCUCAUGCUAUAGGAGCGGCCGAUGUCUGAUUAGCUAGUUGGUGAGGUAAAGGCUCACCAAGGCGACGAUCAGUAGCUGGUCUGAGAGGACGAUCAGCCACACUGGGACUGAGACACGGCCCAGACUCCUACGGGAGGCAGCAGUGGGGAAUUUUGGACAAUGGGCGAAAGCCUGAUCCAGCAAUGCCGCGUGUGUGAAGAAGGCCUUCGGGUUGUAAAGCACUUUUGUCCGGAAAGAAAUGGCCCUGGUUAAUACCUGGGGUCGAUGACGGUACCGGAAGAAUAAGGACCGGCUAACUACGUG